rnacentral:rRNA from 1 species
GAUGAACGCUGGCGGCGUGCCUAAUACAUGCAAGUCGAGCGAACAGACGAGGAGCUUGCUCCUCUGACGUUAGCGGCGGACGGGUGAGUAACACGUGGAUAACCUACCUAUAAGACUGGGAUAACUUCGGGAAACCGGAGCUAAUACCGGAUAAUAUAUUGAACCGCAUGGUUCAAUAGUGAAAGACGGUUUUGCUGUCACUUAUAGAUGGAUCCGCGCCGCAUUAGCUAGUUGGUAAGGUAACGGCUUACCAAGGCAACGAUGCGUAGCCGACCUGAGAGGGUGAUCGGCCAGACGGGAAGUGAGACAGGGCCCAGACUCCUACGGGAGGCAGCAGUAGGGAAUCUUACGCAAGGGGCGAAAGCCGGAUGGUGCAAAGCCGGGUGAGUGAUGAAGGUCUCAGGAUGGGAAAACGCUGUUAGUCGGGAAGAACAAAUGUGUUUUUAACUAUGCACGUCUUGACGGUACCUAAUGAGAAAGCCCCGGCUAACUACGUG